rnacentral:rRNA from 1 species
UCGAACGAGAGAGCGGGGGCAACCUCGUGAGUAAAGUGGCGUACGGGUGAGUAACACGUGGGUAAUCUACCUCUUGGUGGGGAAUAACGCUGGGAAACCGGCGCUAAUACCGCAUAAGCUCGGGAGAGGAAAGCAGCAAUGCGCCGAGAGAGGAACCCGCGGCCGAUUAGCUAGUUGGUGAGGUAACGGCCCACCAAGGCUAAGAUCGGUAGCCGGCCUGAGAGGGCACACGGCCACACUGGCACUGAAACACGGGCCAGACUCCUACGGGAGGCAGCAGUGGGGAAUCUUGCACAAUGGGGGCAACCCUGAUGCAGCGACGCCGCGUGAGCGAUGAAGCCCUUCGGGGUGUAAAGCUCUUUCGGCAGGGAAGAAUCAUGACGGUACCUGCAGAAGCAGCUGCGGCUAACUACGUGCCAGCAGCCGCGGUAAUACGUAGGCAGCGAGCGUUGUUCGGAGUUACUGGGCGUAAAGGGUGUGUAGGCGGUCCUCUAAGUUUGGUGUGAAAUCUCCCGGCUCAACCGGGAGGGUGCGCCGAAAACUGGGGGACUAGAGUGCGGGAUGGGAAAGUGGAAUUCCUGGUGUAGCGGUGAAAUGCGUAGAUAUCAGGAGGAACACCGGUGGUGUAGACGGCUUUCUGGACCGUAACUGACGCUGAGACACGAAAGCGUGGGUAGCAAACAGGAUUAGAUACCCUGGUAGUCCACGCCCUAAACGAUGCAUAUUUGGUGUAGGUCAUUCAGCUGAUCUGUGCCGGAGCUAACGCGUUAA